AUUGAACGCUUGCGGCAGGCCUAACACAUGCAAGUCGAACGAGUGGCGGACGGGUGAGUAAUGUCUGGGAAACUGCCCGAUGGAGGGGGAUAACUACUGGAAACGGUAGCUAAUACCGCAUACCAUCGGAUGUGCCCAAAUGGGAUUAGCUAGUAGGUGGGGUAAGGGCUCACCUAGGCGACGAUCCCUAGUUGGUCUGCGAGGAUGACCACCCACACUGGAACUGAGACACGGACCAGAUUCCUACGGGAGUCAGCAGUGGGGAAUAUUGCAAAAUGGGCGAAAGAUUGAUGCAGCCAUGCCGCGUGUAUGAAGAAGGCCGUCGGGUUGUAAAGUACUUUCAGCGAGGAGGCGUUACUCGCAGAAGAAGCAUCGGCUUGCUCCGUGCCAGCAGCCGCGGUAAUUC
rnacentral:rRNA from 1 species